CCCCCACUCCCCAUUUUCACUCCACAGCUGGUAUGCUGUCUUUGUAUGCCUGCCCUCCUUCCCUUGUCUUUUUUUAUACGUGUUGGUGUCAUCGCGCCCACUUUCCCUUUCGCUCCCCUCUUCCUCACUCUCUUACCCUCCACUUCCUCCCCCUUCCGGACAUGGCGUGAACAUAUGUCUUCUUCCCCACCCUUCCACUCGUUGGGCGUCUUUUACCUCUUUUCAUCCUGAUACUUCCUCUCCUCCUCUCCUGCUUGCGUGAGUUGGUCCUCAACUGCCCCCCCGAACCUCCGUCCCUCUGUCUUCUCUCUGUUGUUCAGUCUCUCCCCCCACACACACUUAUUAUCUUUCUGCAUGUGUUGUACAUAUGCACGUGCAUGGAUCUGCUGAUGUGUGCAUUCUUUUUUCUCAAAGUGUGUGUGUGUGCGCACAUUUACUUAUAUGUGACGUAACUCUGAUUUGUGUGCUUCCCAAAGUGUUGACAUGAUUGCAUAACCCAACACUGAGCAGUACACACACAUAUACAUCAAUAUAUACAGUACGUAGGAAUGAAAACCAAACGCGAAUGGAAGAGGAAAUGUCUUAUUUUUGUUCAUUUUACCUAUAAUCAGCCAGCUCCACUGCUUUGACACACACACACACACACACACACAUGCACAAACUCGGGCAGACACACAGAUGAGAGCAAAGCGGUUUCUGGGUAAAUCCUCAGUACUCUCAUUACUGCGCCCAGAUAGAAUACGAAGACGAACAGAGCAGAGCCACAGGAGGAUGGAGGCGGGACGUCUUCAUGCGGUAAAGACGGGCACGCCGUUGGACCAAUGGGCUCUCACGCAGACAUGGACGCGCUGUGAGACAACAGAACAAUGAAACUGCAAGGCACUUGCCUGUAGAGCAGUCUCACGUCUUUGGCAUUGUUGUCUUUGUGUGGGUUUGGUAAGUCUGAGGCUGAGGCCUGCCACUCAUCAAUGGCUGAUCAAAUUAGUCUCAACUAAAUUAUUGUGACAAUAUUGUGAUGCUGUUGUGAAAACAUGUCAUCGCCUCAUGUCAUCGCCAUAUUUUGAAGAUGCAGAACAAACACCAAAUGUUAGACAAUUUAUUUGAAUAAACGCAACUUUAAAUAACCUUUGAAAAGAGUGAAAUUAGGAGUUGCCAGAUGAACCACAGAGGCUUUUAAAAUAGUUGGACAAGCAAAGUCAUCCUUGAUUAACCACAACAAGAACCUGUUUUACAGAUUAUAGCGAUUAAGAGGAAGCACAAUUGAACCUGACCUUGUUUAAUUAAUCUCUCUUUGAUUCAAUUCCAUGAAUAAAUACAGUUUUAUCAGGAUCUAUUCAUCAAAUUCCCAAUCAAGAAACAAGAAGUGAGUUCGAAAACAUUACGUAGAAGUCAAUCAACUCUGAUUUUCAGUACACUCCGUUGUACGCAGUGUUUUGUUUUGCGCACGGGCCGCAUUGACGUAGAAACCAGACACGUGACAUGCGUGUCUGGAGGUCUGAAACACAUCGAACGCACCCGUAAAAUAAAGUUACCGUUAUGCUCACAGCUGCACGGCGCGCGCUCCAAUCACGAACCCUGACGCGUUAUGGACGCUAGCUUGCCUACGAGCAUUUUUAAUAGUCAAAAGAAAACUUUUCGAGACGACGCUGGAUUUCUGUCACCUUUUUUUUCUGAACCGCAUGUGAUGAAAUGUGACGUUCAAUGGCGACUUUGUCAAUGCUCAGAAGCCCCUCGUUCGCCCCAGCAGGAUGCGAGGAGAGAGGACUGCAAGCCCUAAAGCACUCAAACUCAGGACCCGCCCUCCCCAGAGGCCCAUCGUGAAGUCCGCCCACUCACCAGUAAACUCCCUAAACUCCUGGAACACCUUCGGGUACAUGGCGGCGGACAU